CGGAAGCUAUGGCGCGUCGCAGCUGGAAAGGACCCUUCUGCCAACGGUGAUUGUGAUGGUAGUUAACGGUGGUGAGCGACAACUAUCGAUUCGUGGAUGAUGGUUAACUAUCCAAACAUGAAUCAUGCAUCUGAAACAACAACACAGAAACAAGAAUAGGGCGAACAUAGGAAAUCGAGAGAAGGAAAAAGGAGAAUACUUAAUGGGGUCAUGGUGUUUGGAUUUCGAAAUUUUGCCAACAACUGCAGGAAAUGUUGUAGGUGGCACCCUAGUAACAGGGAAAAAUAAAACAUUAGAGAAAUUUGAAAGCUUUAAUAUAAAAGGGAAAAAUGAAUUGAAUCGAAAAAAUCAAGAAUUAAAUUGGAAAAAUGAAGAGAAAAAGAAAGAGAUUGAAAAGAUGUGGAAAUUAGGAAAUGGAAAGGAGGGAUUCUGAAAUGGAAAAGAUGAAUCUGAAUUAGGAGACUAAUUGCUCCAUCGCUUUCAGCCAUACAGGAUCUGCCUUUGCUAGACCUUUCACCACCUUCAUUGUUCAACAAAGUAAAUCUCCGCGCA
rnacentral:lncRNA from 1 species